GCGCAAGUCUACCCGAGCAUAUGCCCACACUUAAUUGGACUGGUCCGACCCUAAUUGACGCUUGUUCAUGGCUACGGCGGCGCUAGAGCCCCGGUGAGCGUGUUCUGAGCAACAAAAUGUGGUAGCAUUUAAAUUGAAGCUAGGGCGAGUUCCACUGAUUCACGAGAGGUCGGGUACACGCAUAAAUUUGGACGGAGCGUGGGUGAGAAAGUGGGUCGACGUGAGUGCGCUCUCGAACGCGUUCUGCGGCGGCGAGGCGAUGUUCUCGAUGCCCUAUCGCGGUAGUAUUCAAUCGGUUGGGCCGACGAGCUAUGUUAACAUUCAAGGAUGCUAAAACAUGGCACAAAGGGGAAUGAACGGACCUAGGAACGGUUGAUCACGGUCGGGUACCUCACAGCGGCGUGAAUGGCCGACUUGGGGAAAAUCCGAUUCCUCGGGCUAUAGUGGAGGGAUUGAGGAGAGGAGCGGUGCACUGGGCAAGUAACAAGAAGGCAGAGCAGGGAGGGCCUUCAAUUUAUAGCGACUACGCGAGUGCUUCGCGAAUUUGGGACGAGAUGCUCUCGCGGCCGGAAGAGAGGUGAGUCACCGGAGUGCAACUGCUGUGGCUCUCGGUGAGGUAGGCCCCUGGCGGUAAAUAGGUUAUCCACAGCGACAGAUUGCGAUGUGGUAUUGUCCCCAAUCACGUGGCAUCCUCGCGGCGAGCGACGGACGUUGACGAUGACAUCCCGGCCUGUCGUGAAGCAAGUGGGUACGGUGGCCAGCUCACAAUCUCAUCUGCGGUCAUGAUCUUUUCACUUGCCUGGUAAUAUCCACGCUGAUCCAUGCACGAAUCUUCACGGUGAGCUCGAAUCACCACGCCCGAUCAGCGGCGGUGAGGUACAAUGCACCAAGGAUCUUCUUCAGCGCACUGUACCAUGGCGAUGUCCAUUCAGCGCACCUGACAAAGCGAUUUGAGGAGUUCCUUUCUCAAAUUUUUAUGUGACAACAUGUUAAUCUGACUACAUCAAAGUUGUUGUCCAUCAUACCAGCUUCAACUUUGUUAUAAGGUUCUUGCUCAUACCUCCACUCGAUCAAGCAUAAUUUGGUUCUAAAGUUGAUCUAAUGCCACUGUCAAUCUAACUUUCAGACGAGCACACGACUGACGGCCCAACUUCCAGGCUAUUUUGCUCUAAUUCCUGUACAGCUCUAGGGCUCAAUCACUUAAUCAAACUUGGACUACUUUAAUAGCUCUACAAAUUUGUUGUAGUG
rnacentral:lncRNA from 7 species